rnacentral:lncRNA from 1 species
AGCACAGCAUGUGCAGAUUGGACUGGGUGUGCAUUUUUUUUGACCUUCCCAGUUGAGUCCUCCUGGGGCACAUGGCACAUCUCUCCACCUCAUCUCCCUUCUCCCCAGAGUGGGAAAGAUGAAAGGGACAGUGAAGACAGACUUGAAGCCUUUGUCAGCUUGGGGCCUUGUCUACUGCUUGAUGGGGGCCAGCCUACUUGUUACUUGGAAUCUGUCUCCAAAGUGCUGCGGGACAACGUGUCUCAUAAAGACAAGGUUCAGCUCUGGAGGCAAAAGCUGAAAUUGAAUAGCUGCCUUACAGUACACACACGGAGUCCAGGAGUGCCAUGGCUAGCAACUGCAACAGGGCACCAGCCUAGUGAACUGAUUUCCAAAAAGCCCAGACUUUAUGGAAAUCCUCGCCGACUCCCCGAGAAGCCUGCUAAUCAAGGGAGGGUGAUUUCUGAGAGCUCCCCAUCUGCCUUCCUCCCUCUGUUUGGUGAGUGCUGUUCUGUCUGGGUUUUUGCUGUGCUGGCUGCUUGGAGCUCCCUGAGCUCUAUGGCUCAGUUGGACCCCCCAAGGAAUGGUGGUUAGCUGCUAUUUCAACAGAAACCACUAGUUUGUGGAGGAAGGGAGCAGGCCUCCCUCCCGGGAAGGCUGAUUUUCUCUCCUUUCUGUUCCAUCUGUGCCUAGUGCCGAACCCUCUAGAGGUGAUGAUGUAGUUCAUGGUGCGCAGCGUGGGCUGGGAGGGAAGGAGAAAUCCACCAGCCUCGUCUCACGCUUAUUCCAACCCAAGCCUCCAAGAAUUAAAACCAGUUGGCAACAUCCUGGAAAGGAAGAUUUGUCUCUUAAAUCUACAGAAGGGAAAAGUUUUUUGUUUCAUGUCUCUGAGGAGUUUUUGUGUGUGUGGUUUUUUUUUAUGGUGGUUUUGUUCACAAUGGAAAAAAAACCCAAACCAAAAACUUCCCCACGAUGGUCCUGGUGUUUAUACCCCAUGCAGACUCUGAAAGCACCAAGGAGGAAAGGCACACAAGCUCGUUUCGCGAGGCAGCCUGCUAAUUUCAUUUGCCACCACGGUGUUCCCAUCUGCUAAGGGACCGGCCCAGACAAUUUUCCAUGGAUAAUUCACAGUCCUUUGUAAUUUCAGCUCAAGCAGAAUCAACAGCUUGACCGAAAUGCUAUGGCGAGGAUUCAAAGGGUGGCUACUCCCACGUUCUGUCCUUGCUUCACACCAGCGUUGGCCUGUUCCCAUGCACACCUCUGGUUCCCACUCUCGGGGUCUCUCCUUCUUUCUCCCUACCUUGUUUCAC